ensembl:lncRNA
UUGAAUUGGUUCAUUUGAAAGUAGACAUUUCACUCUAUAGAUAUAUUUUUAAUGUCUGUAAGGAAAGUUUACACAGAGUUUCGUGCUCGAGUUCACAGAGACCGAGAUGGCAGAAAGUGCAUCCUGUUUGCUUUCAUUAUUUUACAAAAGCGCAAUGUUUUCUUGUUAUUGUGAGUGCACACAAAUAAACAUAGAGUUUUUACAGAUUUGAAAGAUGUAUUACUCUCAUCUGUAUGAGUAAAGAUGAGGGAGUAUUUUAAGUGCACCGGCGCCUCCAUCUGUCCUGCAGUGAUCUACUGUUCAGCUCCACUCUCCUCCAGACACUGAACAGCGCACACUUCUCAGGUUAACGUUAGAUUGAGCAGCCAUGUGAAGUUGCUGCUACUUACAUAUUUGUGGUGGAUGAAUGAUAGGCGAGCGUUUGGAUGUCCUGCCUGAUGUACUGUACUAGCACCGAUCUGCGUGACUUUUUAUUUAUUUAUUUCUGCGACUAAGCGGUUAAUACAAUUUUGGUUGACCAAGCCUCUUCUGGUCGACUAACGGUUAGCAGACUAUUAGGGGGCAGCCGUAAUGUUUAUAUAGAAAUAAUGAAGAUUUCUGUGUCACCCCAGACUGGUUGCUGGCCACCUCUAUGAAAUCAUCCUGGCUCUGACACUGCGUUCGCUCAGAAUUCAGAAAGCUCUACAAAAGGGCUGACACCUGUUAUAGUGCUCCAGAUAGGGAGCGGUUUCAGACACAGCUUCAGUCCGCAGCUUUGACUGAGUGUGUGUGCGUGUGUGUGUGUGUGUUUCAGGACAGUGAGGUCAGUGUGACGGUUCCUCCUGAAGAAAGAACAGAACCUGAACUACAGGAUUUGGCCCUGUCCAGGGAUCACAGUCCAGAGGCGUCUUCAGAGGACUCGUUGUGUGGACGUCACCUCCGUUCCACAGCAGCUUCACGACCUCUGACCCCCGAUGCUGCGGUGUCCAGCAGCCGAGAGGAAGACGAGCAGAUGAAUGAAAUAGGGCAGGAGGAGAAACAGUCAGAUGAAGAGGAGAAUGGACAGAUCAGAAAUGAAGAGACCGAGAACGAUGAGGAGAUCGAAGAGCAGAUGGAGAGAUCCAGCAGUCCUGAGGAGAAACAGGAGGAGCGGACGGAGGAGAGAACUGAAGAAGAGAGUAAAGAUGAAGAAAACAGAGAAGAUGAGAAAGGACAGAACAGAGAGAGCGAGGAGGACGAUGAACAGAUCGAGAGAUUCAACAGUCCUGAGGAGAGGAACCAGACGGAAGAGAAAAAAGAAGAAGAGAGAGAUCAGACUGAGAGUAAAGAUGAAGAAGAGACAGAGAACCAAAAACACAGACAAGAAGAAACUGAUAAAGUUGAUGAACAGAUUGAGAGAUUCAACAGUCCUGAAGAGAGAGAGAAGACAACAGAAGAAGAAAAAAAGAAAGGAAACAUAGAAGAGAACAGACAGAUCAGAGAUGAAGAGAUGCAGAACACAGAGAGUGAGGAGAUUGAGGAACAGAUCGAGAGAUUCAAGAGUCCUGAGGAGGAGGAGAAGAACACGACGGAGGAGAGAACAGAAGGAGGAGAUCCGACAGAGAGCAGAGAUGAAGGAAACAUGGAAGAAGAGAUGAUUGAAAGAAAAGAACAGGCUGAAACACACAGAAACACACAGAGGCUUUCAGAGCAUCAGGAGAGUGAGGCAGAGGAGGAUAAACAUGAGGAAGAGCAGAGAGAGACUGAAGGACUCGUCUCGGAGGCUCAGAGCGACGCCUUUCAGAGUAACAGCUCUCGCCUUCAAGUAACUCGUGUUAAAGCAGGGAAGUUUGUGCCUCAGUGGAAUCCAGUGUCCAGUGAGGAGUCUGAGGACAGUGAAGCAGCAGCGUCGCUCUCAUCUGCUCAUAAUGUGCAGGACAGGAAGGAAGUCGAGGGCGAGGCAGAUAUGGACAGCUGUGUGGAUGUCUCUGACUCUGCAGACAGGCAUGUGUUGCGUGAUGAAGAAGAGAAGAAGAGACAAUUAGAGAGAGAGGAAGAGGAGAAGAAGAGACAAGAAAGGGAGGAAGAGGAGAAGAGAAAGUGUGAGGAAGAGGAGAAGAGACACGUAGAGAGAGAGGAAGAGGAGAAGAAGAGACGAUUAGAGCGAGAGGAAGAGGAGAAGCGUAAGCGUGAUGAAGAGGAGAAGAGACGAUUAGAGAGAGAGGAAGAGGAGAAGAGACAAUUAGAGAGAGAGGAAGAGGAGAAGAAGAGACAAGAGAGGGAGGAAGAGGAGAAGAAGAGACGAUUAGAGCGAGAGGAAGAGGAGAAGCGUAAGCGUGAUGAAGAGGAGAAGAGACAAUUAGAGAGGGAGGAAGAGGAGAAGAGAAAAUGUGAGGAAGAGGAGAAAAAGAGACAAGAAGAGAGGGAGGAAGAGGAGAAGAGAAAGCGUGAGGAAGAGAAGAGGAAGAGACAAGUAGAGAGAGAGGAGAGGAAGAGGCUGGAGGACGCAGAGAGACAGAUGGAGGAGGAGAGGAGCAGACUGAUGGAGGACACACAGAGGAGACUGCAGCUGCUCAGAGACGCUCUGAUGAAGGACGAGGAGCGCCGGAUGAAGGAGGAGAGCGCUGAGCAGCUCAGAGUCCUGAAGGAGCAGAUGCUCAAACAGAGACGAGACGAGGAGGAGAGACUGAACAACGACAUGCACACACAACUACAACAGCUCAGGCUUGAGAAUGAGGUGAAGCUGCAGAAGCUGUGCUCAGAGCUGGAGGCGGAGCAGGAGAGGGCGGAGACUCAGAGGAGGCGGGACCUCGAGCGCCUGAGGGAGGAGUCAGAGGAGGAGCUCCGGGCAGAGAGGAGGCGGCUACAAGAGAAGAAGGAGGAGCAGCUGACCUCCAUCAGACUACAGGUGUGUGUGUAUGUGUGUGUGUGUGUGUGUGUGUGUGUGAGAGAGUGAGCUGUAAGUGUGUAUAUAACGUCGGUUUCACACUGCAAGCGUGAGCAGUGCGUAUUUCUGUCGGCGUGCAUGUUAAUCAGUUAAUAAGAGUGCAUUCACACCGGCAGCAGCAGCAGCGCGUGAGCAGCAGUGCCAGGUCUAUAUUUGCUGUGCUGCUGACGCUUAAUUAAAGUGACAGCACACUUUUGAUGAGCAAAAUAAACAUGAUUUCACACAAAACCUGCUAAAAUGC